CAGCAGUGGGGAAUUUUAGACAAUGGGGGCAACCCUGAUCCAGCCAUGCCGCGUGAGUGAAGAAGGCCUUCGGGUUGUAAAGCUCUUUCGUGAGGGAAGAAACGGCCAUAGUGAAUAGCUAUGGUUAUUGACGGUACCUCAAGAAGAAGCACCGGCUAACUACGUG
rnacentral:rRNA from 1 species